GUCGGCCGUAGCGCGGUGGUCCCACCUGACCCCAUGCCGAACUCAGAAGUGAAACGCCGUAGCGCCGAUGGUAGUGUGGGGUCUCCCCAUGCGAGAGUAGGGAACUGCCAGGC
rnacentral:rRNA from 1 species